rnacentral:lncRNA from 1 species
CACAGCCACACAAACACUGCCGCCCCCCUCCGGAGCACAGGAAGGAAUGAAGAAGUUCCACCUGAGCCUCCCAACCACACUGGCUUCCUUGUGGUCCCAGCUGUCUAGAGUGCGAUAACAAGAAUAUAUUUCCUCUGAAUCCAGAAGUCAGCCUGGGUCCUUGAGGUGACCUUGUGGUCUACUUUCUAGAGUCUAACUGCAGCAGGAUGGCUCUACUCAGCAUGCGGUUACAUCAUGGAGUUCUUAGUACCGCAUCGGUCCUCCUCCACGGCAUCUGCCUCUGUGCUGCUUCCAGCCCGGUCUUCCCGUCCGUCUGCAGUGGCUUGCUUCUCAUCCAUGCCUUUCCAGACCUCUCCCAACUCACCCUUUGUUUUGUUCUUUUAUCUACCCUUGUCAUCCAGAGCACUUAGCUGCCGGUUCUGCUUUUAUAAAUAUUUUUAAAAAAAUAAACCCCUUCAUU